AGUGAACGCUGGCGGUAGGCCUAACACAUGCAAGUAGAACGGCAGCACAGUAAGAGCUUGCUCUUACGGGUGGCGAGUGGCGGACGGGUGAGGAAUACAUCGGAAUCUACUUUUUCGUGGGGGAUAACGUAGGGAAACUUCGCUAAUACCGCAUACGACCUACGGGUUAAAGCAGGGGAUCUUCGGACCUUGCGCGAUUGAAUGAGCCGAUGUCGGAUUAGCUAGUUGGCGGGGUAAAGGCCCACCAAGGCGACGAUCUGUAGCUGCUGUGGGAGGAUGACAAGCCCCACUGGAACGGAGACACGGUCCAGACUCCUACGGGAGGGAGCGGUGGGGAAUUUUGACCAAUGGGCGCAGGCCUGCUCCAGCCAUACCGCGUGGGUGAGGAGGGCCUUCGGGUUGUAAAGCCCUUUUGUUGGGAAAGAAAAGCGGCAGGUUAGUACCCCCCUGUUCUGACGGUACCCAAGGAAUAAGCACCGGCUAAUUUGGUG
rnacentral:rRNA from 1 species